GGUCAAGAGAACUGGCGUUAAGUCCCAACUAGCCAGACGACAACCCUCCACCGCGGUGGGGUGUCUUGGGAAAAGACCGGGCCGAAAAAUCGGCAAGCGCGGGCU
rnacentral:ncRNA from 1 species